rnacentral:rRNA from 1 species
AUUGAACGCUGGCGGCAGGCCUAACACAUGCAAGUCGAACGGGUGGCGGACGGGUGAGUAAUGUCUGUGAAAGGGCCUGAUGGAUGGGGAUAACUACUGGAAACGGUAGCUGAUACCGCAUACCAUCAGAUGUGCCCAGAUGGGAAUAGCUUGUUGGUGGGGUAACGGCUCACCAAGGCGACGAUCCCUAGCUGGUCUGAGAGGAUGACCAGCCACACUGGAACUGCGACAAGGUCCAGACUCCUACGGGAGGCAGCAGUGGGGAAUAUUGAACAAUGGGCGAAAGCCUGAUGCAGCCAUGCCGCGUGUAUGAAGAAGGCCUUCGGGUUGUAAAGUACUUUAAGCGGGGAGGCGUUACCCGCAGAAGAAGCACCGGCUAACUCCGUGCCAGCAGCCGCGGUAAUAC